CUACGGGGGGCUGCAGUGGGGAAUAUUGGACAAUGGGGGCAACCCUGAUCCAGCCAUGCCGCGUGUGUGAAGAAGGCCUUUUGGUUGUAAAGCACUUUAAGCAGUGAAGAAGACCAUAUGGUUAAUACCCAUAUGCGAUGACAUUAGCUGCAGAAUAAGCACCGGCUAACUCUGUGCCAGCAGCCGCGGUAAUACAGAGGGUGCAAGCGUUAAUCGGAAUUACUGGGCGUAAAGCGAGCGUAGGUGGCUUGAUAAGUCAGAUGUGAAAUCCCCGGGCUUAACCUGGGAACUGCAUCUGAUACUGUUAAGCUAGAGUAGGUGAGAGGGAAGUAGAAUUCCAGGUGUAGCGGUGAAAUGCGUAGAGAUCUGGAGGAAUACCGAUGGCGAAGGCAGCUUCCUGGCAUCAUACUGACACUGAGGCUCGAAAGCGUGGGUAGCAAACAGGAUUAGAUACCCGCGUAGUC
rnacentral:rRNA from 1 species